GUAGGUGGCAAGCGUUGUCCGGAAUUAUUGGGCGUGAAGCGCGCGCAGGCGGUUCUUUAAGUCUGAUGUGAAAGCCCACGGCUCAACCGUGGAGGGUCAUUGGAAACUGGAGAACUUGAGUACAGAAGAGGAAAGCGGAAUUCCACGUGUAGCGGUGAAAUGCGUAGAGAUGUGGAGGAACACCAGUGGCGAAGGCGGCUUUCUGGUCUGUAACUGACGCUGAGGCGCGAAAGCGUGGGGGAGCAAACAGGAUUAGAUACCCUGGUAGUCCACGCCGUAAACGAUGAGUGCUAAGUGUUAGGGGGUUUCCGCCCCUUAGUGCUGCAGCUAACGCAUUAAGCACUCCGCCCUGGGAGUACGGCCGCGAGGCUG
rnacentral:rRNA from 1 species